AUCAAGAACAUAAUGUGGUCAUGA
rnacentral:siRNA from 1 species